AAAAGUGUCUUAUUUGUUGGAAUUGCCUCUCGAAGGAUUGAAGGCCCCGAAAAUGUGACUUUAAACUCGAAAAUUCGCGAUUGUAAAGGAAAUGUUUGCGAUUUUUGCGACUUCAUUCAAUCGUUGGCAGGAUAUUAAGGGUGGGAAGUUUUCAAAUUGAGACCCGCUGUAAUGGAAAACAUGAGCAUUCUACAGGAUGACCAAGGUAAUUUAAAAAAUUAGGCGUUCGACUGAUAAACUCCUAGUUUAGUAGGCAAGAAAAGAAGCGAAGUCAGCAAAUACAGUCAUCCAUUAUUUGGCCGGCUAGUAGAAGCGAUACGUAGUCAGAAAGGUCAAUAAACUUUCUGUUAAACAUAUAAAAAUUGUUCGGUGUAAUCACUACUAUUUUCAACGGUACCUACUUCGGGACCGUUUUCGGAAAUUGCUAUUUUUGAAGAUUGAAGGUUGACUAACAGAUGCAAUGCAUAAUGGAGCAUUAAAAAGGAAAACACUAAGAAAUUCACUAGAGCUCUAUAACCCAUCAAAUGGAGCCGGUGUUUUUUGGCAAGAAAGCGCGACAAGCGCAUCAUUUGAUAAACUUGGAAUUUUCUUUAGUUUCGGAAAAUUUUCACAUUUCUUUUCAUGCCUGAUUUUUAUAUUGAAUUGUGUAUAAAAAUCGCUUGAAUGCUCAGUUGAAAAAGGCUAACCGGAAAUACCAGAUAGAUAACUAACCGAAUGUCCCCAAUUAGGCAAAAUGAAUGUGAAGAAUUUUUGAUUCGUUACUUUCAGCAAACGCAAGUUCAUCACUGCUCUCAAACGUAGAUUUUUCUUGGUGCUGACAAUGCUGAAGAAAAUUCAAAAUUUUUUUGAUUUUUUCAAAACUUUUUACAUGUAUUUGGUUGAUUUUGGGAGCAAAAGAGAGAAAAUUAAAAUCGUCCCACUAAUAGCUCGACCGAUCAGUUGAAGAAAUUCCUUGAAAAUAAUUAACUACUUGUUUUAAAAAAUCGUUUUCUAAGUGAUUUCAUGGUACUAAUGGUACUAAUAAAGAUUGCGGACUAACCAUUGCUUGUGAAUUAAAAACCUACCAGAAAAAUGUCCAUUAUGAUGAAAAACGAACAUUUAUUGCAUUUUUGGUUGUCAAAAAUCAGCAAUUACUAAUUUUCCAACUGAGGAAUCGGCAAAAUAAAAGAAAAUGAGAACCGAUGCAUUUUUCGUUCUCUUACUCUCCACCAAGAUACUUCUCCGCUUCACUUUGACCGGAAAGGUGCUGACAAUGCUUAAUACUAACUUAUUAUAAUUUUUUACCCCCUUUUACAUUAUCUUGGAGUCGCAAAAAGUGGAAGACUUAAAGAUGCUUUAACCACCACGAUCAAUUGGAAGAUUUGCAGCAGAAACCAACAUAAUUGAGCGUGAAAAAACCGCCUUUUCAGUCCUUGCACCUACUGAUGCAGAUUGCAUUUAAUUAAAGGGACCAAAUCCUGCCUUAUUAUCCAGAUCAUUAUUCAGCUUGUGUGAAUUGCAAAGUUCCUUAGGGAUCCCGGAAUAUGACACCCGAUCAUUUGAUAGAAGCAUGGUCUCUCUGAGAAAAAUGCUCUUCUGAAGAGUUUUUGCUCCUCUUACCAUCAGCAUACUCAGUAUCCAGAUACACUCGAUAAGACCCUAAUAAAGCAAGAACUUCUUCACUUCGUGCUCGAGCAGAAAAUGUGCAGUUUCACAGUGCAAACCAACUAUGAAUGACGAAGUGAAAAAACGCAGAAAAUAACUGUAAAAACCAGCAAAAGAAUGUAAAAUAUGUGACCAAUAAUGUAAUGCUAGUAAGCUGUCACCUAAACACACAUAUGAACUUUUCGGCUUGUUUUUCGCCGCAUAAAAAACUGAAUGAAUCAAGCAAUAUAUUUAGAACAAAGCUGAUGCAAUUAGGACAGGAAAUAUACUUACAAAACUCCACUAGGAUGUAGUCGUGUUUUUUAAAGGCUGUGAGGAAGUUGCCUUCGGUUAAAACUAAAACUCCAUCUUCC